rnacentral:rRNA from 1 species
AGAGUUUGAUCAUGGCUCAGAGUGAACGCUGGCGGCAGGCCUAACACAUGCAAGUCGAGCGGCAGCGGGUCCUUCGGGAUGCCGGCGAGCGGCGGACGGGUGAGGAAUGCAUCGGAAUCUGCCUCUUUGUGGGGGAUAACGUAGGGAAACUUACGCUAAUACCGCAUACGUCCUACGGGAGAAAGUGGGGGACCGCAAGGCCUCACGCAGAGAGAUGAGCCGAUGCCGGAUUAGCUAGUUGGCGGGGUAAAGGCCCACCAAGGCGACGAUCCGUAGCUGGUCUGAGAGGAUGAUCAGCCACACUGGAACUGAGACACGGUCCAGACUCCUACGGGAGGCAGCAGUGGGGAAUAUUGGACAAUGGGCGCAAGCCUGAUCCAGCCAUGCCGCGUGAGUGAAGAAGGCCUUCGGGUUGUAAAGCUCUUUUGUUGGGGAAGAAAUCCUGUCGGCUAAUACCCGGCGGGGCUGACGGUACCCAAAGAAUAAGCACCGGCUAACUUCGUGCCAGCAGCCGCGGUAAUACGAAGGGUGCAAGCGUUACUCGGAAUUACUGGGCGUAAAGCGUGCGUAGGUGGUUCGUUAAGUCUGAUGUGAAAGCCCUGGGCUCAACCUGGGAACUGCAUUGGAUACUGGCGAUCUGGAGUGCGGUAGAGGGGUGCGGAAUUCCCGGUGUAGCAGUGAAAUGCGUAGAUAUCGGGAGGAACAUCCGUGGCGAAGGCGGCACCCUGGACCAGCACUGACACUGAGGCACGAAAGCGUGGGGAGCAAACAGGAUUAGAUACCCUGGUAGUCCACGCCCUAAACGAUGCGAACUGGAUGUUGGGUGCAACUUGGCACUCAGUAUCGAAGCUAACGCGUUAAGUUCGCCGCCUGGGAAGUACGGUCGCAAGACUGAAACUCAAAGGAAUUGACGGGGGCCCGCACAAGCGGUGGAGUAUGUGGUUUAAUUCGAUGCAACGCGCAGAACCUUACCUGGCCUUGACAUCCACGGAACCCUGCA